CUGGCACUUACAUGGUCUUUUCAUAUUUAUAUAAAAUUGAUCCGGAUACUUUUUUUAGAUAUGACCGCUCCAAAAAGGUAUUUACUAUUUAUUAAAGUUUUUUACUAUCUUACUGCCAGGCAAUCUCGUACCCAGAGCCAUCGUUGAGUGGCUCUGGCCACACGGGAUUGAAAAACGAUCCUGAUUGGUCGAUCCAUAAGUUAUUGAACCCAUACCCCCUGUGGCGUUCACGAGCGCGGCCAAUAUGAGUGAAUACGAUAUAUUUUGCUUUAUUUGGCCUGAAAAGUUGCUUAUUUUGACGAAUUUUUUGUUGCUUUUCGUCCGAAAAAGUGGUGAAGGGAUUAAGGAGUUGAUUUAUGCGUACUUGAAUUCAUUUGGGGAAAAUAACAGCCUUCGUUAUGAUAAUAAUUCAUACUCUUGGUUCACCCUGAGUGAGUAUUGAUGGGAAUGAUGGCAUAUGUCCUUGAUCUACUAUAUUGGAGUGUUAUUAUUGAAAAGAAAUUCAAGCGUACAAGACUUACAAGCAUACACGUAUGCUAGGACUGUAUUUAUACAAGAUUUGGGAUUUUUUAAUUGAACUGUAAAUGUAUGAAUCAUCAUGGUGUGAAUGUAACAAUUAAACAGCAUUUGGAUUCUUUUGCAACUUGUCAAUUCGUUUGAUAGAAUUGUUUGAUGAUACAAUAUAUUGUUUCUGUUUACAGUAUUGCCUGUACAACUCUGUCAGAAACAUUGGUGUUUAUAGCAGCCCAAAAAGGUUUCAUUAAUUUAAAGGCCAUGUAAAGUAUGUAAAGUAAACAAACCCUUUGUUUACAUUCUGAAGUCUGAACCCAGUGCUAUAGUUGUAAAAUAUUAGAUAUGCAUUAUACUGAAUUUUUAACUCUUCUGGUUUGCUAUGUUUGUAAAUGAAUACAGACUAGAGAUUCAAUUCAAGAAAGUUUGGAAGGUGUGAAAUAUUACCAUUGGAAUGUAGGAUUGCAGAACGCAUGCGCAGAACAGACUUUACAUGGUCUUUAAUAAUAGCAGUAUGUACUAUGUGCAGUAUGUAAUAAUAUGAAACCAUCUACACAAUUUAUACAAUGGUGCCAAUAAAACUGGUAAAUAAAU